rnacentral:rRNA from 1 species
UACGUAGGGUGCGAGCGUUGUCCGGAAUUAUUGGGCGUAAAGGGCUCGUAGGCGGUUUGUCGCGUCGGGAGUGAAAACCCGGGGCUCAACCCCGGGCCUGCAUUCGAUACGGGCAGACUAGAGUUCGGUAGGGGAGUCUGGAAUUCCUGGUGUAGCGGUGAAAAUGCGCAGAUAUCAGGAGGAACACCGAUGGCGAAGGCAGGUCUCUGGGCCGAUACUGACGCUGAGGAGCGAAAGCGUGGGGAGCGAACAGG